rnacentral:rRNA from 1 species
UACGUAGGGGGCGAGCGUUGUCCGAAUUUACUGGGCGUAAAGCGCGUGUAGGCGGUUCUUUAAGUCAGGUGUGAAAUCCUGUGGCUCAACCACAGAACUGCACUUGAAACUGAAGGGCUUGAGUGUGGGAGAGGAAAGUGGAAUUCCUGGUGUAGCGGUGAAAUGCGUAGAUAUCAGGAGGAACACCCGUGGCGAAGGCGGCUUUCUGGCCCACCACUGACGCUGAGACGCGAAAGCUAGGGGAGCGAACGGG